rnacentral:rRNA from 1 species
CCUACGGGUGGCAGCAGUGGGGAAUAUUGCGCAAUGGGCGAAAGCCUGACGCAGCGACGCCGCGUGAGGGAUGAAGGUCUUCGGAUCGUUAACCUCUGUCAGCAGGGAAGAACGGUCACUGUGCUAAUCAGCAGUGAAUUGACGGUACCUGCAAAGGAAGCACCGGCUCACUCCGUGCCAGCAGCCGCGGUAAUACGGAGGGUGCGAGCGUUAAUCGGAAUUACUGGGAGUAAAGCGCACGUAGGCGGUAGGUCAAGUCAAGGGUGAAAUGCCCGCGGUCAACGUGGGAACUGCCUUUGAAACGGGCAAACUGGAGUGUGUGAGAGGUGAGUGGAAUUCCAGGUGUAGGAGUGAAAUCCGUAGAUAUCUGGAGGAACAUCAGUGGCGAAGGCGACUAUCUGGCACAUAACUGACGCUGAGGAGCGAAAGCGUGGGUAGCAAACAGGAUUAGAUACCCGAGUAGUC